CUGUAAUCCCAGCACUUUGGGAGGCCAAGGCUGGCGGAUCACCUGAGGUCAGGGGUUCGAGAUUAGCCUGGUCAAAAUGGCAAAACCCUGUCUCCACUAAAAAUACAAAAAAACCCCAAAACUGUCCAGGCAUGGUGGCACACGCCUGUAGUCCCAACUACUCGGGAGGUGGAGGCAGGAGAAUCACUUGAACCCAGGAGGUGGAGGUCGCAGUGAGCCGAGAUCGUGCCACUGCACUCCAGCCUGGGCGACGAGUGAAACUCCAUCUCAAAAAUAUAUAUAUAUAUCAAUUACCAACUAAAAACAUAACUCCAGUUUGGCAGUUUGCAUAUUAUAAGGAGAUAAAUGUUAAAACAUACUUGACUACUUUCAGAAAUGUUCUCCUGGUACUUUUUGCAUUUCUACAUUCAGAUAAAAAGAUUUGCAUGCACCUGGCUAACGCCAAGGGAACUUCAUUUUUUUCUUCACUAUUAUGCACUUUCAUGGUAUAGUCUUUCUCAGUUCUUUUAAUUUUUGUUAUUUAACAUCUUUAAUAGCACAGCAAACAUCUUUUCAGAAAUUUUCAGUUAAAGCCUUUGAAUUACUUAUCUUUGAUUUAAUUUACAGCCAGCAUUUUGCCACGUUCUAAAUAAUAUUUAGCUCAACUGAUUCAUACGUAUUAAUGACCAUUCUAGCAAAGGCCUACAAGUGGUGUGGGAAUCAGGGAAAGGCUGCCUCUUUGGUAUCUCAACUGGUAUUGAUUAUUGCUAUCAACUAUUUGGGGAGAAAAAAUCAAAAUGAAGCCCUGUCAAAUUUUAGAAGUACUAUCUUUGGUCCUUCAAACACUUUGUGAUGACACCUUAAGAAAAAUAAAGUUGAAGUUCAGGUCUUGCCAUUGCCAUUACAGACAAAUUAGGAGACUUGGUUUACCUGGGAACAAAUUUACUUGAAUAUUCAGUACCUGAAACUAUGCCAAACCAAAGAGCAGCUGCAGUACAUUCGUUAUUUUAAAUGAACAAGUUUACAAAGUUUAUUUUCAUCUAUACGUAAGGAUGAUUUUUUUAAAACUUUUUACAUAUUAGUGGUUAUGAUCCAAUGUGUCAUGAGUGAAUUUAACUGUAAGGUGGUUUAAAUCAAAUAUGCAAUGUUUACUUGAAUUGUAUUUCUAUUAGCAGAUUUUGACUAUGUUUACAGGACGGUUUAAAUUAAGGAUUAUCAGGCAUGUGAGAUCUUUCAGUUAUCUUUAAAGUAGAUGUAUAUUAAGGGCUUAGAUUUAGGAUCUACAUAUUCUGGGCAUUGAAUAGGCAGUAACUUACAAAUAAGUUUUGCUUACCUUUUGUUCUAGGGACUAGCACUGCUAUCAAUGGAAAGUAUUUUUAACUAAUCUGUUAUUAAGAAAGUCAUAUUUUUGCAUUUCAGCCAAAAUAAAGACCGCCUGUAAUAAUCUGUUAGAAACAGAUAAUACAUGUCUGAAAUCCAUAUGUUUCAUAUGAUCUAAACUGUAUUUUCCAAUUUAAAUUAAAAAUGUAAUAUAGAUUCAGAAAGGUUCAUAUUUUUCUAAUGACUUCAUUCUAUAUUAUUUUGUUAGGUUGCAUAAAGAAGCAAGGAAUUGUACUUGUAUUAAAAGAUGAAGAAAGCUAUUAGGUAUAUUUGUACAUGACUGCAAAUGAGUCUAUGCCCGUUUAAAAGAAAAGAUGGACACUAUUUUAAAGUGAGCUUUAAUAUGCUUUUAUAUAAACAAAUUUGAAGUACAGUUUAGUUUGGUUGUGUUUACCUAACAAGUACCAUAAGCCUUGUGUUUGUUCUUAUUUGUAUAAUCCUAGCCUGUGACUUAAUGUUGAUGCUUUGCUUUGUCUUUUGGCUGGCCUAACCUACAUUGACAUGUACACAGAACAUUUUAAAACUUUUUUUUUCAAAAGUCAUAAUGAAUUACUUUAUUAAUAAACAAAGUCUUGUA
rnacentral:lncRNA from 1 species